rnacentral:lncRNA from 1 species
CUUUCCCUCACCUUAUCCUCUACCCUGUUCCAUCAUAAGUGAUUGGAUAUAUAGUUCCCUGUGCUAUAGAGCAGGAUCUCAUUGCUUAUCCACUCCAAAUGCAAUAGUUUGCAUCUACUAAUCCCAAACUCCCAGUCCAUCCCACUCCCUCCCCCUCCCCCUUGGCAACCAUGAGUCUGAUCUCCAAGUCCGUGAGUUUAUUUUCUGUAGAUUGGUUCAUUUUAUCCCACUGUGUGUGUAUACAUCUUCUUAAUCCAUUCAUCUAUCUAUGGAUAUUUCCAUGUCUUGGCUAUUAUGAGGAAUACGGGUGCAUGUAUCUUUUUCAACGAAAGGUUUGUCUGGAUAUAUGCCCAGGAGUGGGAUUGCUGGGUCAUAUAGUAGGUAGUUCUAUGUUUAGUUUUCUGAGGUACCUCCAUGCUGUUUUCCAUAGUGGCUGUACCAAUUUACAUUCCCACCAACAGUGAAGGAGGGUUCCCUUUUCUCCACACCCCCUCCAGCAUUUGUUAUUUGUAGACUUAUUAAUGAUGGCCAGUCUCACCGGUGUGAGGUGGUACCUCAUUGCAUCUCACAUUUCUCAACUCACCUCCCUCUGGCUUACACCCCUCACCCACAGUCCAUGGACACAGCAGUAGUCAGACCCCCAUCAAUCUCCAGGCUCUCAAAUGCAACGAACACAUUUCAGUUCUUUGCUUGGCUUCUCAGCAGCAUCCAAUACAAUUGACUCACCUCUUCUAAAAAUACCCUCUUCUCUCAGCUCCCACUUGACACCACACAUUUCCAGGAAGUCUCCUGCUUCUCUGGAUACUUUUCAGUUUCCUUUGCCAGCUCUGUGGCCUCCUUUAAACCUCAGUGCUCAGGCCCUGUCCUCUAUUUAUUCCAUACUCUCUCAGCUCCAAGUCUUCGAGGGGAGGUGGCACCAGGGGACACAUGAGGACAGUUUGGGGUUGUCACAGUGAUCAGUGGAGGCUGUACUACCUGCAUUGAGUGGGUGGGGGCCAGAGAGGCCACAGGACAACAUCACCAAAGAACUGUCCUCUCCCAAACCCACAUGUUUCACCACUUUUGACUGAAAAAAAAAAUACACAACAUAAGAGCGGAAGCUAUGUUUUAUUCAGUGGGCUGUCUGAGGACUUCAAGCCCAAAGACAGGACUCUCAGCUCACUGAGACCCCACUCCAAAGAGGUAAGGGAGGAACCAGGAUAUAUAGGACUGUGUUAACAAAAACCAGGCAGUCAGAACAUCAAAUGAUUACUGUAAAUUAAAAGAAAACCAGAAAGUUCCCAUUGUGGCUCAGCAGUAACGAACCUGACUCCUAUCCAUGAGGAUGUGUGUUCGAUCCCUGGCCUCAGUCAGUCAGUUAAGAAUCUGGCAUUGCUGUGAGCUGUGGUGUAGGUUGCAGGCGAGGCUUGGAUCUGGUGUUGCCAUGAGCUGUGCUGUAGGCUGGUAGCUGCAGCUCCAGUUCAGCUCCUUGCCUGGGAACUUUUGUAUGCCACAGGCGUGGCCCUACAAAGGCAAAAUAAAGAAAGAGAAAGAAGAAGGAAUGGAGGGACAAGGAAGGGAAGAAAGAAGGAAGGAAGGAAGGAAAGAAAGAAAGAAAGAAAGAAAGAAAGAAAGAAAGAAAGAAAGAAAGAAAGAAGGAAGGAAGGAAGGAAGGAAGGAAGGAAGGAAGGAAGGAAGAAAGAAAGAGAAAAGAGAGAAAGAAAACCAGAUAUCUCAAGUUAAGGAAUUUAGCGCUUUUCUAGAUAUGGGAAGAUGCAAACAUCUGGGCUCAUUGAAAUUAUUCUGAUGAUGUGCACCUCAGCUACCUGGGGCUGGUACCCUGUGUCCUGAGUCUCCUCAGGGUGCACCAUCGGGGGCGGGGGGUGCCGGGGAGGGAGUGGCUACAGUAUCUGACUGCUUGAUGGCAGGUGUCCUGUUCCCAUCCUGAGUUCUCUCAUGACUCAUCCUCCAGGAUGUCCUUCCUCAGUGCUCAGCACCACCAUGUGGCCUUCCGCACAUGGAACCCUACCCAACCCAGCUCCUAAAUAUCCGCAAAACCCAUCUACUUUUCUCCACGUCCACUGCCAGCGCUCAGUCGCAGUCUGAGCCACCAUCCCCAUUCUGCAGCAGCCUCCUAAGAGACCUCCUUGCCUCCAGGUCCUAUCCUCAUUGCAACUGGAGUCAUCUUCUAAAAGCAACUCGGAUUCUAUCAUUCGUCUGCCUAAACUCGCCCAUGGUCUCCUGCUGCUCUCAGAAUCUGGCCCCAAAUCCUCAUCACUGCCUGUGAGGAAGUCCCUGCCCAUCUCUCCAGCAUCGCCCAUGCCUGUUCAGUUACUUGAGCCACAGUGGCCUUGUGCCAGCCACUUAAUGACACUCUGCAUGGUAGCUACUGUUACAAAUUUUUUAUUACCCCAAAUAACAAUUUUGGUUAUUUAAGAAAAUUUACUGAGACUUAUCAACAAAAAAGAAUAUAUUUACCAUUUCUGAAAAUUUAAAUAAACUACCUAAACCUAGUCACUAUUUUUUUGAAAAAGAAUAUUUUAGGAGUUCCCUUUUGGCUCAAUGGGUUAAGGAUCUGGCAUUGUCAAUGCUGUGGUUCUGGUUACUGCAGUGGUACACGUUCAAACCCUGGCUGAGGAACUUCCUCAUGCUGAGGAAAAAUAAUAAUAAAAAUAGUAUUAUUUACAUAAUAAAAAUAUUUUAUUAUGUAACUAAACCUCUUCUCUGUAAUUAACUCUAAUUACAUAAGAAGUUUUAAAAAAACCACCCCAUCUUGGCAAAUACCCUUCUCUCUUAUCCGCUGACCCCUACCCCCCAGUGGCUAAAACUGAUGUUUCUCCAGCAUCCCAAUAUCAAUUCCAAUGUCACAUCUUUCAGGAAGCCUUGCCAGCCCCCUAGGACAAUCCUUCCACACAUUUUUAUGGCUCCUGGUCUCUCCCUUCUGGAAUGGAUCACAAUUGCCAUGAAUUACCUGGUUGUGUAGCCGUGUAUUUAAUGUCUUUCUUCACCACUCCGGAAGCAUCUCUGGGGAAUGAGGAAUGAGCCAGCCUCAUCCAUGGAGGGUUCCAUAGCACCCAGCACAGUGCCUAGCAGAAUGGGCACUCAGUAACUAUCCAAAAGGUGGAUUCCAGUUCUAGUUUCAAUUAUUUUUAAGUUUUAUUGAAGUCUAGUUGAUUUACAAGGCUGUGAUCAUUUCGGCUGUACAACAAAGGGAUUCAGGUAUACAUGUGCCCACAUCCAUUCUCAUUCAGAUAAAUUUCAAGUAAGAGGCCGAAUCAGCAAUAAGCGGAUGCACCCAAGAUAAACCCAGGAGGACCUGUAGGGAGAAAACUGAUAAAAUGGUGAGAAAUCCUGGGGAAUGGGUGGGGGAAUGGGGGGCUGUUGUGGAAAGAUGAGGGCUUUAGCCAAAAACAGCAGUCGGUGGGCAGGCUGUGGAAAGAGUGAAACAGGAAAGGAACUGCAGACUCUGUGCUCACUCUUCCCCCACCAAUGCCAGGAGCAAAUGGUGCCUGCCUUGCAGCAAGGCUGACUCAGAGCUGUGGUCCAGAUGUCCCAGAAGAAAAAUCCAGCCAUCUCAGAAAUCCUGAGAAAAAUAGGUGGAGGAAGACAAACCCCAGGAAGUUGAUCCCCUUCUCUGACACAUCCCUUUCCAAACUUCCAGACCCAAAAAGUCACAAUCCAAAGAGAAGCUCCUGCUCAAUUGUGUCUCCCUGGGGCAAAGGAUCUGAAAAAUUUGUUUGGGUGAGUAGGGAAUGACUGACAGUGAUACGCUGAGGAACCACUGUGUGGUUCACUGUCUGGGACCAACCCGUCCCCACCCAUUACGCUGGGACAAGUGUGGACUAGAGUCCAGUCUUCUUCCGUAGAUGGUGCCUAACAGAGACGUCAGUGCCCCCACCCCUGCCUCACCUUGGUAAAUGAGCUCACAGUCCAAAAAACAGCAAAAGACAUUUGAUAAGCAUAACCAUUUCAGGAACAAACGAAAGCAAAGUUGGAGUACACAUCCCAUCAGAAACAGAAAUGUUAAAGUCCCAGAUGUUAAAAUGAGUCUAAACAAUUAUUAAGAAAUAAGAGGGGGAGGCAGUUCAAGAUGGAGGUGUAAGAAGGCACUGAACUUAUGUCAUCCACAGACACACAAAAAUCUACACAUAAAUAUGAGUCAAUUUCCUCUGAAAAAGACCUGAACACUAGGUGAACAGCUCCUCCACAACAAAGGGGAAAAGAGCCACGGGAAGUCAGAUAGGAGAGGGAGAGAUGCAGUGUCACCCCCAGUGGGUGCAGAGACCCAAGGUCAAGAGGGAUAUCAGAAAUACAGAGUUUCUCCCUGAGGGGUGAAGGGUCU